CGAGUUAGCUCUGCCAAUCAGUAAUCUACGUGAAUGACGUCAUUUCCUUGUUACCCGGAAGGAUAUGGCACAAAGGCGCGCGCACUCAAAACUGGAUCGUCUCGUGAGCUACAGUGAGCUACAAAUGGCGCCAGGUUCUUCAGCUUUGAAUGCCUUCCUACAAAUGAUAACUGGAUAAAAGCAUGGGAGACUUGAUUGAAUUCUUGAAACAAAGAGAAGUCUCUGAGGAAAUUAUACAGACCUUGGAGAAUGAGAAGAUUGAUGCCAGUGUCAUAAGUCUAAUGACAGAUGAGGAGCUGAAGACUUAUUUGCCAUCAUAUGGUGAUCGUCUAGCAGUAUUUGGAUUUUGCAGACGGAGGGGCAGCAGCCGCAAGUCAGCGCUUUUUGAACGGCUGAAAUCCAAACUGUCCAAAAGAAAAUUAUCUGAAGAGGAUGG